GCUACCCACCGACGCCUCCUCCCCACUGGCGCGCGGCCCUGUAGGCGCUCCGCGGCGGGUGACGGCUUGGCCGAGCGGGAGCCGCUAGGGGCUCCCGACCUGCGCGCCGCGCAGGGUCUCCGCGGCAGCAUUGCGUCAGGCGCACACGGUGCGGGGGUGUGGAGGCGCGGCCACAUGGCCGUGCAGCCCGAACGGCCGAUGGGGCAGGGCCUGGGCCUUGGGCGCGGAGCACCUUGCUCCCUCACCUGCGCGAGCACGCGGCUGGCCGGCGGCGACCUGCAGCGGUGCGGGCGUGCUGCAUUCAGCCUGUGUAGCGAGAUUUGAGACUUCCCGAACUGAGAGGUUAAACAAGGGAAGGAGGCACACAUCUUAAAAAGACCAGACCAAAGAAGGCAAUAUAUCUGAUAACAUUUAUUUUCGCUCUAAGUGAAAAUAGUGACUGCUAAAACAUGAGCUGGUAUAGAACUGUAACUGCUAAAACAGGAACUCGUAUAAAAAGAUUCAUUAUAGUGUUUAUAUGAUUCCUGAAGAAACAUGACUGUUGCCUUUAAUAUUGAUUAACCAUAUGUGACUGUUUUUUUCCUUCUCUUUCUUGAGCACACAUGCAUUGUUAAGAGACUGCUUAUAAAAUGGUGUGGAUUCUGAAUCUCCAAAUAAUUCUGUAUUGCAGGAAGCAGUUCUGAGUUCAAUUUAUCAUUUGUGUAGCAAAAAAGUGAUGCAGCUGCAGCAGAAAAGCAUACACAUACCUCUAAGUUUAAAGAAACCAAAGAUUUUAUGCUAGUAUGUUGAUCUCUGUGUUUUGUUUAUUGCUGCAAAUGGGAAUUGCUCUGUGGACAAAAUAGUAACUGUUCUGUGUGCCCAAAUAAUGUCUUGUGCUGAGUUAGUUGCUGCUCUAAUGAUUAAACAUAUAAGUGUAGUGUGUACCUAGGUGAAAAACAGCACUAUACCGGAUAGCUGUUUUUGCUAUCCAAUAAUAUUAACACUAGCUGCAUGUUGUGUGGUUGUUUGCCAUUCCCUUUACUAAAACACUGCUGAAAAUUGUUAUUCACAUGUUCAAAUUGACUUUCAGGUAGAAGUGCUAGGUGGGACGGUUGAUGAAGACGGUUGCAAGUUGAUCACAGUUUUUGUUGAAGCUUAUGUGUUUGUUUUGUUAUGAACUUCCUGGAGAUGAAAUCUUUUGCCCACAACCUUGUAGUGAACUGUGAUAUUUCGGUCAUAAUUAUUUGAUACCUUGCUCACAAUGAUAGAUGUAGAAAUGUUGAUUCCUUGACCAUAUGCAAACUUUAUGGCUGUGAGCUAGGUCAGUUUGUUUUAAUGAUCUAUGUGACAUCACUAGGAGCUAUUAUUUA